UCGGGCCUUGCGCUAUCAGAUGAGCCUAGGUCGGAUUAGCUAGUUGGUGAGGUAAUGGCUCACCAAGGCGACGAUCCGUAACUGGUCUGAGAGGAUGAUCAGUCACACUGGAACUGAGACACGGUCCAGACUCCUACGGGAGGCAGCAGUGGGGAAUAUUGGACAAUGGGCGAAAGCCUGAUCCAGCCAUGCCGCGUGUGUGAAGAAGGUCUUCGGAUUGUAAAGCACUUUAAGUUGGGAGGAAGGGCAUUAACCUAAUACGUUAGUGUUUUGACGUUACCGACAGAAUAAGCACCGGCUAACUCUGUGCCAGCAGCCGCGGUAAUACAGAGGGUGCAAGCGUUAAUCGGAAUUACUGGGCGUAAAGCGCGCGUAGGUGGUUCGUUAAGUUGGAUGUGAAAUCCCCGGGCUCAACCUGUGGAACUGCAUUCAAAACUGUCGAGCUAGAGUAUGGUAGAGGGUGGUGGAAUUUCCUGUGUAGCGGUGAAAUGCGUAGAUAUAGGAAGGAACACCAGUGGCGAAGGCGACCACCUGGACUGAUACUGACACUGAUGUGCCAAAGCGUGGGGAGUAAACAGGAGUGGAUACCCUGGUAGUCCACGCCGUAUACGAUGUCAACUAGCCUUUGCGAGCCUUGAGCUCUUACUGCCGCCUCUAACGCAUUAUAUUGACCGCCUGUUGAGUGCAGCUCCCAGGUUAAACUCGAGUUAUUUGACGGGG
rnacentral:rRNA from 1 species